CGACGACGUCGCACUUUUUACGUAUGCGAGGAGGAAUCACCAUCAUCGUCGUCGUCGUCGUCGUCGGUCUACUGUGUGAGUGUUGGUGCGCGGCUCAAAACACACGCGUUCGAACGGUCGUUCACCCCGGGUCCCAUAUUAUAUCGUACAGUCAUUUCUCUCAUCAUAGUUGAUCAAACGGUCGCAACUUUUUCAUAGUCUCUAAUGUUUAUCGCCUGGUUUUCGCCGGAAAAGUCGGUUCCCGCAAGUUCUCUCCUGGACUCGGACUGUGGAUAGUUUUUAGUAGGAUCUUUGGGUCUACUAGGCUUGCCUUUUAGUGUGCUGCUCUCUUAUCGUCGUCGUAGUUGUCGUCAUCGUCCUUCUGAGCAGCAGCAGCAGCAGUAGUCGUCGGAGUGGAGUGUCGUUGGCUGGCAAGAUUCGAAGCAGCAGCAGUGCGGUGACCCCUUCGAAUGGCAGAAUUCCAUCCGAUUCCGUGAACAGUAGAGUGGCCCAAGGUUAUUUGGGGGAAAAAAGUGGUAAGUCAGGAAUUUCAAGUCUUGCAGCAGUUUCGGGGAGUAAACUCGGCUAGUAAUUAUCCCUGGCAGGUUAAUUUUACUACGAGGAUAUAUUGCGCAUACAAUCGGAAUUAAAAAUGUAAGAAAAGAAAAUCAUCCAAUAUGAGAAAUAAAUGUGUCUGUUCUAUACUCUUGUCUAAAGUUGGUGUUAGAUUAUAGGAACAUUGUCCUAAUGCCUGAUUUGUGAACGACCAAGAGGCAUGUAAGACAAUUUCCACAAUAAACUCUUGUAACCAAGAUAAAUAAUAAUUAUCUUCGGAUUUAUUUCCGGUUUUUACUAGUUGCUUUCAUACCUGGAUGACGAUUUUCAUUUUAAAAUAAAAAUAAAUAUACGCCGAUUACAGCGUUACUUACUUUUAAUUAGAAAAUCAUAAAUUUUUAUUAAAGAUUUUAUCCUUUUUUUAAUUGUUCUCGCUAUAACUCAUAGUGAUCCCAAGAAAUUAAAAAAAAAAAUAGGGAACAUUACUGGGUAUGUCUGCUCUUCGAAACUGCUGCAUGGUCUAAAAUUUCUGAAUUUCAUGCAUUUUGGGCCAAUCUAGUGAACAGUGCCGAGACUGCGUUGGAAGAAAGGAAAAUUUCCUGAAAAAGUGAUAAGCUCCUGGUGACGAUCCUGAAUUUUAACGUGUUUUGUGUAUUUUAAAGUGUCUCAAUCCAGUGUGUAAUACGAAUCCCCCGAACCACAGUUUCAUAAAUCCGUGUAAUCUUGAAUUCGUGAGGGAGCGCGAGGAGAGGGGUCAGUAUCAAUUGAAAGUGAAUUUAUACGCCCGAGUACAGCAGAGACAAGGCGUUGCUGGUGCUGGUGCUGCUGUAACCAUGAUAAGAAUUUGGAGUGAAGGCACCCCUCCUUGGGGUGGUGCAACCACCGAGGGGGUGAACAAGUGAUGAGGGAGCACGCACAAUGCGAAAGGAAAAGAAGACUGGUGCUUCCGAAUGAAGAUUUUUGUUUUCAAUGACGUUGAGAGCAUGUGAAUGAAAAUGCAAAAAAAAACAACCUAAUCAUAGAAAGUGAAGAAGUCGAAAAAGCAAUAUACUACGCGUAGUGAAUAUUUCUCAAAAUAAAAAGUGAAUAAGGAUUGAAGAAAAUUUUAAACUGAAUAACGGUUGUAGAUUGGAUUAAUCUUGAGAAGAAAGAAAAGUAAAUUAAAAAGGACUGUAUCGUUGUGCACUCAGAAGAAAAAAAUCGAAGAAUAGUGCGUGCCAUUUUUGUUCUGCCAGAAGCCAGAAAAACCUCCUCGAUUGCAGUUGUGAAUGAGAAGACGUUUGGUGCCCGAUAGCCGGAAUACUUAGGGACAUACAUAAUCGGAUUACCGCUGGAGCUAUUUUGAUGGUCAAGGAACCGCAAACUACAAAGUGACAACCGGUGGGAAGUUACGUGAAGAGAGAAAAAAUUGUGAACGGAAGUUAGUGCGAAAAAAAAACGAAGAGAGAGUAGAACAGGAAGUUGUUGGAAAGUGAACGGGAACGGAACGGGAAUAGAAAACCAGUGCUUUGAAAAAAGUUUAUGAAGAUUGAGGGAAAAAAGAUACCAAGAGAAAAAAUAAAGUGCAAAGUGCAGACACCUCCAAUUGUGCGUGUGAGACUUCCUAGCAUGGCAGACGACAAUGGCCGACUUUAUUGAAUUAAGGUACCCACCACAUACUCGAGUAUGACAAUUCCUAGUGCUUCCAGUCGACGACGACGGUACUCCAGCGGCGGUUUAAAGAGACAGCCAGACAAAAUGCUGCCGAAUUUCUUGAUAAGGUACAUCUGAAUUUCUCUAUAAUAUGUAAAUAGUAAGUAUUUUACAAUGUAUUAUUGUUAGUUGAAUCUCCGUGUCCCAAAAACAAACUUUCACAAAACUUUAGUGACCGAAAAAAAUAAUAGAGAAAAAAGAACAUGAACUCUUCGUCGUCACCGCCUCGCAUACCUUAAGCUGUCGACGCUUGUCGGUGCAUGUGUCAAGUGCCUCACAAAUUUGCAAGAAAUCCUUGAAAUAAACUUCGUCUCACACGCUAUGCCCUUUCUUCCUACUUCGGUUCCAUCUCCCCCCAACCACCCCAAAUGAAACAUCUUUCACCUACCUACCGACGACGACGACCGAGUCGACCGGCUUCAAUAAAUUUCCAUCCGCUCCGCCCCGCAUUGUUGAGCCUACGCCGUUUACUGCACAAAGUAGGUAUGAUGAUGCAGCAAGCACUAUCCAAAGCAGCAUUACAACCAAUCCGACGCAACAACACAUCAACAGCACACCAGAACUACAACCAGUCGAAAACGCCUCCCAGGCACGCAAAAGCCCGUGGCACGCAAAAGUGGAACAAUGAACUUCCAUAACCCUGUAAAGGCAGGCAGGUAGAGUGGUAGAGCUAGCCUAGCUCUAGGUAGGUAGGUAUGCGCUUAACAAGAGAGCCAACUUCAGCAACUAUUUUGCACGCAGUCUCGACACAAUCAUCGUCUUCAUCGUAGCCGUCGUCGCAUCAGCUCUAGUAGUUCCAUAACCAGACAAGACAACAACGCAUCAUCGGUCGAUCGGUGAUGGUACCUACACUUAGUAGAAAUAGU